rnacentral:lncRNA from 1 species
CUGGAGAUUGAUAUGGUUUGGCUCUGUGCCCCUACCCAAAUCUCAUGUUGACUUGUAAUCCCCAGUGUGGGGGGAGGGACCUGGUGAGAGGUGAUUGGAUCAUGUGGGCAGAUGUCCCCCUUGCUAUUCUUGUGAUACUGCGUGAGUUCUCAUGAGGUCCGGGUUUUUGAAAAUAUGUAGCACCUCUCCCUCUGCUCUCUCUCCCCUGCUCUGCUAUAUGAAGAUGUACUUGUGUCCCUUUGCCCUUCCAGCAUGAUUGUAGGUUUCCUGAGACCUCCCCAACCACUCCUUCUUACAGCCUGCAGAACUGAACUUUACUGCAUGACAUUGAGAAUCACAACUCUGUUUAACUCUAGGAAAUCUCAGUUAUAUUCUACAGGAAAGGCACCCACUGAAAUACCUAAAGAUGCAAGAUGGCUGAUGUUUUGUUACAAUAGUUUUUUCUAUUUAAUAAAGCAUUUACCAGAUGUUUUUCUACCAACAUAAAUAAAUAAACCAAUAAAACUCCUAUUGUUUUACAAAUGUGUUGUUUUCAGGAAAAAGAAAUUAAAUAAGUAUUAUGAAAUGAG